GUGAGGGACUUUGUGAUGUUGAUUUCAAGGGGCAUCUUGUCCUUGUCUAGCAGCUUGAUGGGAUGUAUUUAAAUGCAGAGAAAGAUGGAAAAAUCACGCGAGCGUGUCUUUUCCAUAAGCCUGAAGCUGUAUCCAGGCACAUAUGAGAUCAAGUUCAUUGUUGACGGCAUAUGGAGGAUUGAUCCUUUGAGGCCCACUGUUCAUAACAACGGACAUGAAAACAAUCUUCUCAUUAUUAUAUAAGAGCAUGUCUCUGAAUGAUACACGAUUGCAGGAAUUCAAGAUGAACUCGAGGAAGCUUCGAGAGGUCAGCUAGAAAUGAAAAUCACAAAAGAGAAAAGAAUGGAAGAGAGAAGAUUUAGGAUAGAAGUGUAUAUUUCAUUGAGGAUACUGAAUAUGUAUUACAGAUGUAUUUAUAUCAAUUACAUUGUAUCAUGAGUUCCAAUCCUACCGACAGAUUCUCUCAUUAACAUAAGUUAGUUAUUGUAACUAA